UGCCAGCAGCCGCGGUAAGACGGAGGGGGCAAGCGUUGUUCGGAAUGACUGGGCGUAAAGGGCACGUAGGCUGCCAAUUAAGUUAGAAGUGAAAUCCCAGGGCUCAACCCUGGAAUUGCUUUUAAUACUGGUUGGCUAGAGUUUGGUAGGGGGGAAUGGAAUUCCUAGUGUAGAGGUGAAAUUCAUAGAUAUUAGGAGGAACACCCAAAGCGAAAGCGAUUCCCUGGGCCAAUACUGACGCUGAGGUGCGAAAGCGUGGGUAGCAAACAGGAUUAGAUA
rnacentral:rRNA from 1 species